GAUGGUGUUGGAAUUGGUUGUGAUGGUGUUGCUCUGUUAUGAUAAUGCACUUCAGAAAAUAGGAAACAAUUUUAAGUUUGACGUAGUAAUGAUACUGGAUGGACUGGUUCACACACUUGGAUACAAUAGGAGUGAUGGGUGUCGCCGCCCAAUCAAAUUUGAUGUGCAGUUUAAAGUGCAGUAUAGCUAGGGAAUGACCCCUAGGUCGUCUCCCAAAGACCAAUUUUGCGGUUCGAGAAUCGAGUCUAACACGAAAAAGG
rnacentral:lncRNA from 1 species